AACCUAUUAUCUAAUAUCAAGUUGUAGGUGAUCAAUCAAGAUGAAGAAUUCUAAGAAUAAUCUUAAGGGGUUUUCGAUCUACUAAUCCAUCUAAAUCCCUAUUGAGACUCCUUAAACCCAACAAGGUGAUUACUUAGACAUGAUAACAGAAACACAAAUCAUAAUCUCAAUAAGAAAUCAAUAAUAGCAAGAGAAAGUGUAAAGAAGAUCUCUCCAAAGGAGUCUCCACAGGUU
rnacentral:sRNA from 1 species